GCCACCUUAGCUCAGUUGGUAGAGCAGUGCAUUCGUAACGCACAGGUCGUCGGUUCAAGUCCGACAGGUGGCU
rnacentral:tRNA from 1 species